CCAAGAGAAAGAGUGAAGCUGCCAGCAUGAUCUAACUUGUGUGGGGGCGCAAGCGGUGAGGUUGCUGCCGCGAGGAUUUUUGGGCGAUGGUGUUAGAUCAUGCUGUGACAGUUUCACUCUUUCCCUUU
rnacentral:pre_miRNA from 1 species